GAGACAUCUUUAUGGAGCAGGACUUGCUUCAGUGGGGCUUUGGUAUUCACUGAGUUAGCCACUUGAGUGUGUCUCU
rnacentral:pre_miRNA from 1 species